CACACGGAUGGGAGUCAGCACUCCUCCCUGGAAAAGCAGCAACAAGGCACUUAGCUAACCAGACAAGUGGAUCUCACCACAUUAGGCUGUGCUGGGCCAGAUCCCUGUUCCCUCUAAUCCACUGCUCUGCUUCAUCCAGAUACAAGGAUGGGGAUGGACAAAGAGCAAAAAGAAAUUCAAGAUUCCCUUGAUCUCUGAGCAUUGAUUUAUCUGACCAUAAUCGUGAGGCUCUGUGUGCCAUCAUUUGCUAAGGUAAAUAAUCAAGAGUUUAGCAGCUCUGCAGAAGGUUUUGAGAACAUUCCCUCACCCAAAGGGCAGCCCUGGAGCCAGGAAAAAAAAAAAUCUUCUGGGACUAAAACAUUGUUACCCCCCCAGCCAAAUAUUUUACAGCUUCAUGCCUGACAGAAAUGACAAAAAAAGCCUGGAAUGUCCUUCCAAGUGACACUGCAGGAGACAGGGAAAACAGAAGGGACACGAGCCAAAAACACUGACCAAAUGUUUCCACUUUGUGUCAGGAAACAAAAAUGAGUGUUGACAAAUAAAAGCACAAGAGCUGGGCUGGGCGAGAGAUCCUUCAACGUCUCCCUGCCUGG